UACGUAGGCAGCGAGCGUUGUUCGGAAUUACUGGGCGUAAAGAGUGUGUAGGCGGUGUUCCAAGUUCGGUGUGAAAUCUCCCGGCUUAACUGGGAGGGUGCGCCGAAAACUGGAAUGCUCGAGCGUGGGAGAGGAAAGCGGAAUUCCUGGUGUAGCGGUGAAAUGCGCAGAUAUCAGGAAGAACACCCGUGGCGAAGGCGGCUCUCUGGGACGGUACUGACGCUGAGACGCGAAAGCGUGGGGAGCGAACAGG
rnacentral:rRNA from 1 species